UACGUAGGGCGCAAGCGUUGUCCGGAAUUAUUGGGCGUAAAGAGCUCGUAGGCGGUCUGUUACGUCCGCUGUGAAAACCCAGGGCUUAACCCUGGGCUUGCAGUGGAUACGGGUAGACUAGAGGCAGGUAGGGGAGAAUGGAAUUCCUGGUGUAGCGGUGAAAUGCGCAGAUAUCAGGAGGAACACCGGUGGCGAAGGCGGGUCUCUGGGCCGAAACUGACGCUGAGGAGCGAAAGCGUGGGGAGCGAACAGG
rnacentral:rRNA from 1 species